rnacentral:rRNA from 1 species
UACGUAGGGUGCAAGCGUUGUCCGGAAUUAUUGGGCGUAAAGAGCUCGUAGGCGGUUUGUCGCGUCUGCUGUGAAAACCCGAGGCUCAACCUCGGGCCUGCAGUGGGUACGGGCAGACUAGAGUGCGGUAGGGGGAGAUUGGAAUUCCUGGUGUAGCGGUGGAAUGCGCAGAUAUCAGGAGGAACACCGGUGGCGAAGGCGGUUCUCUGGGCCUUACCUGACACUGAGGAGCGAAAGCGUGGGGAGCGAACAGGA